rnacentral:lncRNA from 1 species
CCACUUUCUCGAAAUUUUAAUUAUAUAUUCGGAAUCCUGGGCUCGAGAACUGUCCAUUGCCGCCCUCUUCGAGGAAAUCGGUUAAAAGGGGGGGUCCCCAGAGCUACUCAAAGUUUAACCAAAUGGACUGAGUGCUAGCUGUGUCAGGAUGGAUGAGUUAGAGUGCCCAUACUGCCACAAGCAGUGUGACAAUAGAGGCAACAGGGACAAACAUGUAGACGCAUGCAAGAAGCAGAGGGACACAGGCAAGAGGGC